rnacentral:rRNA from 1 species
AUACGUAGGUGACAAGCGUUAUCCGGAUUUACUGGGCGUAAAGGGCGUGUAGGCGGUCUUGCAAGUCAGAAGUGAAAUUCCUGAGCUCAACUCGGGCGCUGCUUCUGAAACUGCAGGACUUGAGUGCUGGAGGGGAUAGCGGAAUUCCUAGUGGAGCGGUAAAAUGCGCAGAUAUUAGGAAGAACACCGGUGGCGGAGGCGGCUAUCUGGACAGUAACGGACGCUGAGGCGCGAAAGCGUGGGGAGCAAACAGGAUUAUAUACCCUGAGAGUCCGCGCCGUAAACGAUGAAUACUAGGUGUAGGGGGUAUCGACUCCCUCUGUGCCGCAGUUAACACAAUAAGUAUUCCGCCUGGGGAGUACGGCCGCAAGGUUGAAACUCAAAGGAAUUGACGGGG